rnacentral:rRNA from 1 species
GGUUAAGUGACUAAGCGUACACGGUGGAUGCCUAGGCAGUCAGAGGCGAUGAAGGACGUGCUAAUCUGCGAUAAGCGUCGGUGAGCUGAUAUGAAGCGUUAUUAGCCGGCGAUGUCCGAAUGGGGAAACCCAGUGCAAUCCGUUGCACUAUCGUUAAGUGAAUACAUAGCUUAACGAGGCGAACCAGGGGAACUGAAACAUCUAAGUACCCUGAGGAAAAGAAAUCAACCGAGAUUCCCCUAGUAGCGGCGAGCGAACGGGGAAGAGCCCAGAACCUGAAUCAGUUUGUGCAUUAGUGGAAGCGUCUGGAAAGUCGCGCGAUACAGGGUGAUAGCCCCGUACACGAAGGUGCACAGCUGUGAGUUCGAUGAGUAGGGCGGGACACGUGUUAUCCUGUCUGAAUAUGGGGGACCAUCCUCCAAGGCUAAAUACUCCUGACUGACCGAUAGUGAACCAGUACCGUGAGGGAAAGGCGAAAAGAACCCCGGCGAGGGGAGUGAAAUAGAACCUGAAACCGUGUACGUACAAGCAGUGGGAGCAUCCUUCGGGGUGUGACUGCGUACCUUUUGUAUAAUGGGUCAGCGACUUAUAUUUUGUAGCAAGGUUAACCGAAUAGGGGAGCCGUAGGGAAACCGAGUCUUAACUGGGCGUCUAGUUGCAAGGUAUAGACCCGAAACCCGGUGAUCUAGCCAUGGGCAGGUUGAAGGUUGGGUAACACUAACUGGAGGACCGAACCGACUAAUGUUGAAAAAUUAGCGGAUGACUUGUGGCUGGGGGUGAAAGGCCAAUCAAACCGGGAGAUAGCUGGUUCUCCCCGAAAGCUAUUUAGGUAGCGCCUCGUGAACUCAUCUUCGGGGGUAGAGCACUGUUUCGGCUAGGGGUCAUCCCGACUUACCAACCCGAUGCAAACUACGAAUACCGAAGAAUGUUAUCACGGGAGACACACGGCGGGUGCUAACGUCCGUCGUGAAGAGGGAAACAACCCAGACCGCCAGCUAAGGUCCCAAAGUCAUGGUUAAGUGGGAAACGAUGUGGGAAGGCAUAGACAGCCAGGAUGUUGGCUUAGAAGCAGCCAUCAUUUAAAGAAAGCGUAAUAGCUCACUGGUCGAGUCGGCCUGCGCGGAAGAUGUAACGGGGCUAAACCAUGCACCGAAGCUGCGGCAGCGACGCUUAGGCGUUGUUGGGUAGGGGAGCGUUCUGUAAGCCUGCGAAGGUGGCCUGUGAGGGCUGCUGGAGGUAUCAGAAGUGCGAAUGCUGACAUAAGUAACGAUAAAGCGGGUGAAAAGCCCGCUCGCCGGAAGACCAAGGGUUCCUGUCCAACGUUAAUCGGGGCAGGGUAAGUCGACCCCUAAGGCGAGGCUGAAAAGCGUAGUCGAUGGGAAACAGGUUAAUAUUCCUGUACUUGGUGUUAUUGCGAAGGGGGACGGAGAAGGCUAGACCGGCCGGGCGACGGUUGUCCCGGUUUAAGCGUGUAGGUGGGGUAACUUGGCAAAUCCGGUUACCUUUAACACUGAGGCGUGAUGACGAGGCACUACGGUGCUGAAGUGGUUAAUGCCCUGCUUCCAGGAAAAGCCUCUAAGCUCCAGAUAACACUGAAUCGUACCCCAAACCGACACAGGUGGUCAGGUAGAGAAUACCAAGGCGCUUGAGAGAACUCGGGUGAAGGAACUAGGCAAAAUGGUGCCGUAACUUCGGGAGAAGGCACGCUGGCACGUAGGUGAAGUCCCUUGCGGAUGGAGCCGAAGCCAGUCGAAGAUACCAGCUGGCUGCAACUGUUUAAUAAAAACACAGCACUCUGCAAACACGAAAGUGGACGUAUAGGGUGUGACGCCUGCCCGGUGCUGGAAGGUUAAUUGAUGGGGUCAGCCGCAAGGCGAAGCUCUUGAUCGAAGCCCCAGUAAACGGCGGCCGUAACUAUAACGGUCCUAAGGUAGCGAAAUUCCUUGUCGGGUAAGUUCCGACCUGCACGAAUGGCGUAAUGAUGGCCAGGCUGUCUCCACCCGAGACUCAGUGAAAUUGAACUCGCUGUGAAGAUGCAGUGUACCCGCGGCAAGACGGAAAGACCCCGUGAACCUUUACUAUAGCUUGACACUGAACAUUGAACCUUGAUGUGUAGGAUAGGUGGGAGGCUUUGAAGUGUGGACGCCAGUCUGCAUGGAGCCGACCUUGAAAUACCACCCUUUAAUGUUUGAUGUUCUAACCUGGUCCCGUGAUCCGGGAUAGGGACAGUGUCUGGUGGGUAGUUUGACUGGGGCGGUCUCCUCCCAAAGAGUAACGGAGGAGCACGAAGGUUAGCUAAUCCUGGUCGGACAUCAGGAGGUUAGUGCAAAGGCAUAAGCUAGCUUGACUGCGAGAGUGACGGCUCGAGCAGGUGCGAAAGCAGGUCUUAGUGAUCCGGUGGUUCUGAAUGGAAGGGCCAUCGCUCAACGGAUAAAAGGUACUCCGGGGAUAACAGGCUGAUACCGCCCAAGAGUUCAUAUCGACGGCGGUGUUUGGCACCUCGAUGUCGGCUCAUCACAUCCUGGGGCUGAAGUAGGUCCCAAGGGUAUGGCUGUUCGCCAUUUAAAGUGGUACGCGAGCUGGGUUUAGAACGUCGUGAGACAGUUCGGUCCCUAUCUGCCGUGGGCGUUGGAAGAUUGAGAGGGGCUGCUCCUAGUACGAGAGGACCGGAGUGGACGCACCGCUGGUGUUCGGGUUGUGAUGCCAAUUGCAUUGCCCGGUAGCUACGUGCGGAAAAGAUAAGCGCUGAAAGCAUCUAAGCGCGAAACUUGCCUCGAGAUGAGUCUUCCCUUGGACCUUGAGUCCACUGAAGGAACGUUUAAGACUAAGACGUUGAUAGGCUGGGUGUGUAAGCGUAGCGAUACGUUGAGCUAACCAGUACUAAUGAUCCGUGAGACUUAACCUU